UCCAGUUUUCAUGGCUGACGUUUAUCUCCACCUUUUCCUACCCAUCAUCUCCACUCCUACAAAAUGGCAGUUUUGGGCAAAUUGCAAAAAAAUAGGGCCAUGAUUCCUGAAUUCUACCUAUUGAUUGCAGUUUGCAGCGGUUUUCGUUCUGAAUUCCGCUCCACGUUCUGCUUCUACACUCCCUUAUAUUCCAAUCUGCAAUCCCCAUCUCCUCUUUAACUCCAAUCGCCUUGACUUAGAUAACCCUAACCAUCACCACCUAUGAUUGUACGACAAUCAUCGCACAACCACCACCACAACGACAUGAAUGGAUCGACAACCGUCACACCACCACUCCCUCAACAGCCGCAUCAGCGUCGAACUUCCGACACUCUAUUGUAAUCUCAUAUCUAUCUGAGAUCAUAUUAAAUCGGAAGGUUCUAAUCAGGGAUCGUUCUCAGAUGUAAUCGUGAAGGCUGUAGGCGAUACGUAUCAUCUUCACCGUUUGAUUCUCUCUCAUAACUCAUAUUUUUAGGUUUUCGAUUUUGAUAUUUUGAAUUCUGUUUUUGUCUACGGAUGCAUUAGGUUAUUGAUUGUUGUUUUCAUGCUUUUGUUUACUGUGUUUCGUUGGUGAGUGUGUUUGUGCAGAGUUAUUUUCCGUUAAUGACGAAGAUCAUUGGUAUUAUAGUACUAAAAUCGAGAUUUGUGGAAGUUAUUUUGUGGUUUCUCAUGGCUGGAAUGUCUGGAAUUAUGGUUUAUGUUUGCUUAAAGUAAACGAUUGACUUGAUUGGAACAUUUGUUAUGGCUCUGUGAAGAAUUUAGCUGAUACAAAGCUUUGAUUCAGAUAGUAUGUUGCACCUACAAAUGACGAUUAAAACUAUUUAAAGGAAAUUGUUGAUGGCAAUGGGAAGGCUGCAAAAGGUGGAAGAAGAGGACAAAAAAGUUCUGCCUUGCUGCUGUUGUGCAAGUAACAGCUGCAAACCCACGACCUACCUGUUGAUCAUAAUGAACCAACAUAUUGUUUCUGCAAACAAGUUAGCUAUGGGGAGAUGGUUGCGUGCGACAAUCCUGAUUGCAAGAUCGAAUGGUUCUGUUAUGGUGGUGUUGGUCUUAAAGAGCAAUCAAAAGAAAAUGGUAUUGUAGCAAUUGCAGCGGGAUACAAAAGCUUGGAAAGGGAAAAUAAAUUAGUCGGCUUUUUUCUGGUAUUAUAGAAGUAACUGGAGAUCAAUUAACCUGUAUUUUGUGCUUUUUAGGGUUUAAAUUGAUGUUUUGCACUACAUUUUGGUCAUUAGUAAUAAACUGCCUACUUGACCCUUA